ensembl:lncRNA
GUCAUGGAGGAGGAGGAGGAGGAAGAGGAGGAGCAGGGAGAAGGGUAGCUCCGGCGUGAGCGAUGGUCAGCCGCGAGUGGGUCUGCCAGUGUUUCUGCCUCUGCUACAACCGAUUCUGCCUCUUCACCAUGUCAUGUCCAGCUGUUCAGAGGCAGGUCCAGAACGGCCCGACCACAGACGAGCUUGAGGCGCAGAGAGCAAGACAGAUGAUGGAGCAGCAGCAGCAGAUGCAGGCGCACAUGGAGCGAGAGCGAAGGUCCUCCAACUCAGGUACCCCCACACUGAACACACACUGAGGCGUGUAUCUACAUCCACACUAAACACUGAGGUGGGUAUGUGCCUCCAGACUGAACACACUUAGGUGUGUAUCUACCUCGAAACUGAACACACACUGAGGUGUGUACCCACAACCACACUAAACACUGAGGUGUGUGUCUACACCCAGACUGAACCCUGGAGCUGGGUGCACACCUCCUCAACCCCUCUAUCUGCUAGAGGAGGCUCCGUGUGGAGCAUAAUAAUGUGCACACUGUUACUUUCCUUUUGAUGGUCUAAGCCUCCUUUAACCCUUAGAUACUCUCUCUACCGCUCUCUUUCUUCACCCCUUUAGACUCUCAAGGGGUAAAGCAGCUAACAUAACAAUCAACAUAACUCUUCGAAACAUUGAGGAGACGCACCUGAUGAGUAGAUUUAUUAAGGGGAGACUGUUAGUCUUUUUUAGCGUCACUGCAGCUUGACUAUGACACCACUUCCCCUUGUAACCAUAGCGACAGACCACUUGCGCUCAGCAGAGUUACACUGAAUAUUUGUGCUGACAUCCUCAACACUUAUUUCCCUGUCGACCUCUCUUCCUCUUUCUUUUUUCCUCUUUCU